rnacentral:rRNA from 1 species
UACGAAGGGUGCAAGCGUUAAUCGGAAUUACUGGGCGUAAAGGGUGCGUAGGCGGUUCGUUAAGUCUGUCGUGAAAUCCCCGGGCUCAACCUGGGAAUGGCGAUGGAUACUGGCGAGCUAGAGUGUGUCAGAGGAUGGUGGAAUUCCCGGUGUAGCGGUGAAAUGCGUAGAGAUCGGGAGGAACAUCAGUGGCGAAGGCGACCAUCUGGGACAACACUGACGCUGAAGCACGAAAGCGUGGGGAGCAAACAGG